GCGCCCGUAGCUCAGCUGGAUAGAGUACUUGACUACGAAUCAAGGGGUCGGGCGUUCGAAUCGCUCCGGGCGCGCCA
rnacentral:tRNA from 2 species